rnacentral:rRNA from 1 species
CCUACGGGAGGCAGCAGUGAGGAAUAUUGGUCAAUGGACGAGAGUCUGAACCAGCGAAGUCGCGUGAAGGAUGACUGCCCUAUGGGUUGUAAACUUCUUUUAUAUGGGAAUAAAAUGUUCCACGUGUGGGAUUUUGUAUGGACCAUAUGAAUAAGGAUCGGCUAACUCCGUGCCAGCAGCCGCGGUAAUACGGAGGAACCGAGCGUUAUCCGGAUUUAUUGGGUGUAAAGGGAGCGUAGGUGGCUGGUUAAGUCAGUUGUGAAAGUUUGCGGCUCAACCGUAGAAUUGCAGUUGAAACUGGCAGUCUUGAGUGCAGUAGAGGUGGGCGGAAUUCGUGGUGUAGCGGUGAAAUGCUUAGAUAUCACGAAGAACUCCGAUUGCGAAGGCAGCUCGCUGGACUGCAACUGACACUGAGGCUCGAAAGUGUGGGUAUCAAACAGGAUUAGAUACCCGGGUAGUC